GAUGAACGCUGGCGGCGUGGAUUAGGCAUGCAAGUCGAACGGUAUCAUCCUUUCGGGGGUGAGAGAGUGGCGAACUGGUGAGUAACACGUAGGUUAUCUACCCUCAAGACGGGGACAACCCAGGGAAACUUGGGCUAAUACCGGAUGUGAGCAACUUUUAGUUGUUUGAAAGGUGGCGUAAGCUGUCGCUUGGGGAUGAGCCUGCGUCCUAUUAGUUAGUUGGUGAGGUAACGGCUCACCUAGGCAAUGAUAGGUAGGCGGCCUUAACGGGUGGUCGCCCACACUGGGAUUGAGAUACGGCCCAGACUCCUACGGGAGGCAGCAGUCGAGAAUAGUCUACAAUGGUCGGAAGACUGAUAGUGCGACGCCGCGUGAACGAUGAAUCCCUUCGGGGUGUAAAGUUCUUUUAUAUGUGAGCAGUGCUUCUUAUAUUAACAGUAUGGGGAGAGAGAUAUUAGCAUAUGAAUAAGCAACGGCUAACUCCGUGCCAGCAGCCGCGGUAAAA
rnacentral:rRNA from 1 species